UACGAAGGGGGCAAGCGUUGUUCGGAUUCAUUGGGCGUAAAGGGUGCGUAGGUGGCGAGGUAAGACGGAUGUGAAAUCUCAGGGCUCAACCCUGAAACUGCAUUCGAUACUGCCUUGCUCGAGGACUGGAGAGGAGAUUGGAAUUCACGGUGUAGCAGUGAAAUGCGUAGAUAUCGUGAGGAAGACCAGUGGCGAAGGCGGCUCACUGGCCCGGUACUGACGCUGAGGCGCGAAAGCGUGGGGAGCAAACAGG
rnacentral:rRNA from 1 species